rnacentral:lncRNA from 11 species
UUUCAACCCUUCCUGUUCCUCCCCCAUGUUGUGUGGAAUUGCUAAGAUUUGAGUCCUGUAAAAUUUAUUAUACUGGAAAGCUGUGGCCAAAUGUUUGGUUCUCUUUAGCUCUUUUAUAAUCCUACUAACUCAACCCCCCUUUACAUUUCUAUCCCAGAACUUGCUUUACAUCAAGAGAGAAAUGCUGGACUCUGAUUAUAUAGAAUCAGAUGAAGAGGUUUCCACAAACAAAGACAGGCAUUCUCGCCUUGGGGAGGAUAACCUGGAUGAUACACUGGAAUUGGAUUUUUCAUGCCGAAAUUUGAGAGCAGAAGAGUUCAAAGAAUUUCAUACAAAGGACAGUAGCUUAUUGGCUGAUCAAGACAUUGGUCAUGAGGUUAAAGCCAAGGUAGAGGAGCACCAGGAUUCAAAACAGAUGGCAAAAGCUAUCCCUCAGAUUCUUCUCCUUAGAAAUGAGAACCAUAAGGAUCUAAUUCCCUCUGUCUCUUCUCUAGAUGCUACUAAUAUGCUCGAAAUCAAAGGAAGUAUUGAAAGUUCCUAUGAUAAUGCAUACUGAGAACUCACACUCUUAUCAGUCUUCUAUCACUUUGCUUCACAUGCUCACUUGUGUAUCUCCUUCAGGGCCUAAUUCUAAUUUUUGUUUCUAGAGAAUUACAAAAUUAAAAUUUCAAGCGGCACUGUGUAACAGGACAUAAUAAUGGAACCAAUUCUCCAUAUUAAAAACUUUUGGGGAGUAUAUGUGGGUCACAAAAUGCAAUGAGGAAAAUAGUGUUUACAAAGCCAAUGUCCUUGUUUCUAGAACUUUUUUAUUCAGAAUAAUUUAAAUAAUUACUGAUUAACAGUAAUUAUACUAAUAAAUAUAAUGCAAGGUUUUAAACUUUGUUUAUGGUUUUUCUAUGUAUUAUAACUGUAUUCUCAAUUUGCUUUUGGCAUGAUAGAUAAAUAAAUAAAUAAAUAAAUAGUAGUCAUUUUCUGUCACUACAACUUUCAUAUCUUAGAAAGUAACUUGCUUAACUCACUAUGCUGUUAAAAAUCUCUCCCUAUAAUAUGGUUAAUUUGGCACUGUAGUUUGCACUACUGACACUGGAAACCCUGAAAGGUGACAAAAUAUUCCAUACAGUAUUGAUAGGCAGACUUUUUUCAACUUUGCCUGCCUGCCUGCCUACCUUCCUCCCUUCUUUAUGUAUGUGGGUUUUAUUUCUUGGCUGCCUAAGUAAAUCCAUUCUUUUUUUCUGAAA